GUCAAGUACAGAGAAAUAAUACAAAUACUGGCUGGUGAUGUUGUUUGGAUACUCAGACUGUAACGGACCCAAGCUACUGGAUACAGGUGAAUCGGUUAGAGCAUGGAGACGGAGGCAUUUUGGACCUGGAUGACGUGCUGUGUGAUGUAGCCGAUGACAAAGACCGGCUGGUGGCGGUGUAUGAGGAGCAGGACCCCCAUCAUGGCGGUGACGGCACCAGCGCGAGCUCCACAGGCACCCAGAGUCCAGAGCUCUUCAGCACGGGUGAGCUCAACUCCAGCACCCUGUCGGCCUUCCAGCCCUACCAGACCAGCAGUGAGAUCGAGGUCACCCCAUCGACCCUCAGGACCAGUGAGUGACCAUCUCAUUCAAACUCUAACACUGUGUCCUAACCAGACGCAACCUGACAAGUCUCCAUCAGCAAAUACCC
rnacentral:lncRNA from 1 species